rnacentral:rRNA from 1 species
AUUGAACGCUGGCGGCAUGCUUUACACAUGCAAGUCGAACGGUAACAGGCCGCAAGGUGCUGACGAGUGGCGAACGGGUGAGUAAUGCAUCGGAACGUGCCCAGUCGUGGGGGAUAACUACUCGAAAGAGUAGCUAAUACCGCAUACGAUCUAUGGAUGAAAGCGGGGGACCGUAAGGCCUCGCGCGAUUGGAGCGGCCGAUGUCAGAUUAGGUAGUUGGUGGGGUAAAGGCUCACCAAGCCAACGAUCUGUAGCUGGUCUGAGAGGACGACCAGCCACACGGGGACGGGAACACGCCCCAGACCCCUACGGGGGGCAGCGGGGGGGAAUUUUGGAAAAUGGGCGAAACCCUGAUCCAGCAAUGCCGCGGGGAGGAAGAAGGCCUUCGGGUUGUAAACUGUUUUUGUACGGAACGAAAGUGCUCUGGUUAAUCCCCGGGGCUAAUGACGGUACCUAAAGAAUAAACACCGGCUAACUACGG